UGAACAAUUCAAGAAACUGGCCCAAAUUUUUAGUACCAAAGUAUUGUGAAAUUCUAAUGCUUUCACUUUUUCUUUCCUAUAAUGUUUAUUCUUCAAAAUACAAUGGAGGAAGAAUGAGGAUUUGCUCUGAAUCUGGAUGAUAUAAGAAGACAGAGCACCAGGAUAAAAGUCAGGAAAUAUGGAUGCCAGUCUCCAUUCCAAGGUCCUCCUGGGGAAACAGCAGGUCCAUAUUUCUGACUGUGCAGGAAUUGGAGGCCCACACCAAGCAGUGUGACAUACUUGAAUGACAAAAUAAUGGAGUGAUCCCAGGGACUCAGGAGUCAUGGCAGAGGAAUUUAUUGCUUAGCAACCCAGACAAAUGUCAAGAGUCUUACCAAAUGCAGAUGAUGCUCUGUGGAAGAGACCUGCUUCAAGUCAGGUCAAGUAAAAACAACCUUGCCAGCAAGAUCCAUCAGUGAGGUAACAUAGUGAUAAUUAGGAAUGGGUAUCUGGAGGAACUCUAACUCCAUUGUACCCUGCUAACAGCUGCCAAAUUGCUGUUUCCACUGUGAUUGUGGGCUGUUUGCUUUUAAGACUCCCAUAGAACUGGGCAAUAGGGUAUGGAAAUAAGAAAAGUUAAACUGCUAUAAAGCUUACUCUUCUUACUUAGAUUCAGCUGUUUUUACAGAUUUUGGCAAGGCUUUGGUUAACUUCCAGAGUUCUAAAAAAGAUUCUGAAAAUUUUUGCCACUCUUAUCACUUUUAUGUGGGAAGAAUAUUUGGAGGUCCUUUCCAUUUUUACUGACAUAAUCUUUUUAUUGAGUUUAGUAUAUUUUGCAAUGUUUUAAUGCAUGGCCUCAAAUUACACAAACUUCAGCCCACUUUAUUGCUGGAUCUAUUCUGAUCUAUAGCUGAACACUAAGAACAAUAAUGAUUUUUCACAACAGCUAAUAUUAUUGAGUUUUUUGUAUGUAACAUGCAUACGGGUAAAUUGUCUAUAUGCAAUGGUUCUUUUAAAACAGCAGUCUAAUAGGUUAAAGUAUUCCUCAGUCUCUCUUUUUACAAAUAUAGAAACAAAUACCUAGGUAGCUUCUCCAUCACCACAGAGUUAAUGGUAGCCAGGAACUAAACCCAAGAAAGCCUUUACUCUCAUGUGCAUAUUCUUAUGCAUGCACUCUAAAAACUAAAAUUUGAAGCUGCGUAAUAAUGUCAAUAAAGAUUUGGCUUCUCUAUAUAGGAUGCUUCAUCAAAGAGUCACAUAAAGGUGGAGGAAAUAUUUACUUUUAAUUUAGAAGUUGGUUUGGAUAGCUACUCUCAGAAAUAUCUAUUUUGAAAGAUUUCUAGGAAUACCUUUAAGAAAACAAUGUCUCGGCAGGACAGUUAGAACAAUGGGUUAGGGCAUUCCUGGUUACUAAGACAGUGUGUAACAUCACUUUGUCUAUGAAUGCAACAGUAUUUGGAAGUAGCUACAAAAGAAGGAAAAUAUAACCCCCAUUUUGUAGGUUGCUAAUUGUUUGCUUUUAGAUUUUUAAUUUGAUUCUUUACUGUUGUUAAAUGUUUUGGCUUUAAAAUUAGGGUGAGCCCAUAUACACCAUGGAAUACUAUGCAGCCACAAAAAGGAUGAGUUCAUGUCCUUUGCAGGGACAUAGAUGAAGCUGGAAAACAUCAUUCUCAGCAAACUAACACAGGAACAGAAAACCAAACACCACAUGUUCUCACUCAUAAGUGGGAGUUGAACAAUGAGAGCACAUGGACACAGGGAGGGAAACAUCAUACACUGGGGCCUAUCGUGGGGUGGAUAGCAUUAGGAGAAAUACCUAAUGUAGAUGACAAGUUGAUGGGUGCAGGAACCCACCAUGGCACGUGCAUACCUAUGUAACAAACCUACACGUUCUACACAUGUAUCCCAGAACUUAAAGUAUAAUAGUAAUAAAAAAAAUUAGAGUGAGCCUUAUUUCUUAUUUUCCACUUUCCUAUUAUUUUAUGUACUUGAAACCUCCUAUUCCCCUUCUGUUGCCAUUUUGAACGUCACUGAGAGAAGAGGAAACAUACACAAAGCUGCAUGAAAAAGAUAAUUCACCUUAU
rnacentral:lncRNA from 1 species